UGCGUAGGCAGCGAGCGUUGUUCGGAGUUACUGGGCGUAAAGGGUGCGUAGGCGGUUGUUUAAGUUUGGUGUGAAAUCUCCCGGCUCAACUGGGAGGGUGCGCCGAAUACUGAAUGACUAGAGUGCGGGAGAGGAGAGUGGAAUUCCUGGUGUAGCGGUGAAAUGCGUAGAUAUCAGGAGGAACACCGGUGGUGUAGACGGCUCUCUGGACCGUAACUGACGCUGAGGCACGAAAGCGUGGGUAGCAAACAGG
rnacentral:rRNA from 1 species